CCAAACCACCGGUUCCUUCAGCUGAUACUGAAGAAUUGAGGAAUUAAUUGAGGAAUUAAUUGAGGAAUUAAUUGAGGAAUUAACUCCUGCACCCUGCACAGCCAAAUUCAGGGUGGAGGGAUCUGCCCAGGGCUGCGUUUCUGCCUGCCAGACUAAAGACCUGACAGCAUUUGUGGUGAAAUAAUCUGCUCUGUUUGCAGACUGGAGGAGAAAUCCUUUCUGUACAGCUGAGUUCCUUCGAGCCUGGUGACCCCCCAGACCAUGUGCCCACCUCCAGGAAGGUAAGA